ensembl:lncRNA
UUUUAAAAUUCAAGAUUUCUGCUCUGUACCUCAUCUAAGAGAAGCAAAUAUUAUUUGUUAUUAGUUAAUAGGAAUACGCUCACCACUUGCAUGUAUGGAAGACUGGGGCAGAAGUGAAAGGUGGGGAUGAAACAAGGAGUAGCCCGGGACACCACAGCUUUGCUUGUCUGUAACAGGCAAUGUUAAGAAAAAAAAAGAACAGUCACGGGUUAUAAACUUGCUCCAAAUGAAAGCAGGCAGCUAGAGAGCCAAAAUUCAAGAAAAGUACAUGGACAAUCAGCCAGGAGAGUUACUGCUCCGUUGCUAGGUGAUAGAUCUGUUAUCAUGCUAAUGACAAUAAAAGAUGAUACUGGUACCAAUAAAACGUCUUUCAUCACAGAAUUACCAAGGGUUCUCCAGACAGCAAGGCUGUAUUAUUCCCAUUUUUCAGAGGCACAGACAGAGAUGAAUUGGCUUGCCAAAGGUCACCCAAAGCAGCACUGAUGGAUUUCAGAAUAAGAAAUUGUCCCAUUUUAGUUCUAUUAGGGCAAUGACUGUCAUAAAACCUUUCUUUGCAAGCAAUCCCUCCCCUUCACCUCAUCAAUCACCCCAGUGUACGUCUCUCCUGAGGGGACAUCCUCCUGCCUUGUUUGUAUUUGUUGUCUCAUUUAGAUUACAAUAUCUUCUGGCCCAGGAGUGUAGAUUACCAAGGACCAAAGGGCAGAGCAAAUGUGUGGGCCGAACCAUUCAGUAUGGGGGCUGUGUGAGCAAGAAGAAAGUGCAAGGCCCAACUGGACAGACAUGGCAGGAUGAGACUUGACCAGGUACUAUCUCCACCCCAACACAACAGCGCCUCCAGCCAUUUCCUCUUCUUAACCUCAUUGUGAACCACAAACCUAAAAGCAACUGAUGAACAGUCUUUGGAUAAGGUGCCUCAGACAUUGUCCAAACUGAAAACUGAUUCACAGACAAGUUCUCUUGGAACUGCACUUGCUUUGGGAAGUCUCUUUCCACCCAAAAGCCAACUAGAAAUCCAGGCAGCCUUCCUUCCUCAACCCUAGAGGUAACCUUACCCUUAUUUGACCUUUGGACAUGGCCUUCCACAUACAUCCCAUGCAAAUAGCAUCUCAUAGCGAAGACCUCCCGGCAGACUACUUUUUCCUUUUGCAGACACCUUCUCCACUCCACAACAAUUGUACCCCCACACUAUCUCCGUCCCUCAACCUUAAUCAUAGAACCAUAGAAUAGCUGAGGUUGGAAAAGACCUUAAGGAUCACCAAGUCCAACCACAACCUAACCAUACUACCCUAACUCUAACAACCCUCUGCUAAACCAUGUCCCUGAGCACCACAUCCAAACGGUUUUUAAGCACAUCCAGGGGUGGUGACUCAACCACCUCCCUGGGGAGCCCAUUCCAGUGCUUA